CCUACGGGGAGCAGCAGUGAGGAAUAUUGGUCAAUGGGCGUAAGCCUGAACCAGCCAAGUCGCGUGAGGGAUGAAGGUUCUAUGGAUCGUAAACCUCUUUUAUAAGGGAAUAAAGUGCGGGACGUGUCCCGUUUUGUAUGUACCUUAUGAAUAAGGAUCGGCUAACUCCGUGCCAGCAGCCGCGGUAAUACGGAGGAUCCGAGCGUUAUCCGGAUUUAUUGGGUUUAAAGGGUGCGUAGGCGGCCUUUUAAGUCAGCGGUGAAAGUGUGUGGCUCAACCAUAGAAUUGCCGUUGAAACUGGGAGGAUUGAGUAUGUUGGAGGCAGGCGGAAUGCGUGGGGAGGCGGUGAAAUGCUUAGAUAUCACGCAGAAGCCGGAUGGCGAAGGCAGCCUGCCAAGCCAUGACUGACGCUGAUGCACGAAAGCGUGGGGAUCAAACAGGAGUAGAGACGCUAGUAGUC
rnacentral:rRNA from 1 species